AGUUUGCAAAGGGUUUACAUUCCAGUUGGGAAGAUAAGGCCUCAUACAAAUACAAAUACAAAUACAAAUACAAAUACAAAUACAAAUACAAAUGUAGAUCUGAGACAGUAACAGCAGUGGGGGCCUGAAGCAGGCUGUCUGGUCAGGCUGAGGGAGUGACGUGAGCGGUCCCUGCGGUGGAGCUUCAGACUGAAGGCACUGUGGUCGCUAGAAGGCAGAGACAGCGGAAGGAGCGGGGACCCCCCAGCUGGACGCCCUUGGUGGGAUGUCAGGAGCCCAGGAACUGCAUCCUCUCAUGUCUUCCAAACGCGCUUGCUCUCUACGGAAGCAUUUCCAGCAUCAGAGUUAGGGCUUAAAGCAGAAAUACUACUGCGAGACGUAAUACUUUGACUUAAUUUGACUAAAGUGUCUUCAUGGGGGGCUUGCACGUGGAUCUCCUGAGUGUCUGAGAGCGAGGCCUCGGCGCAGCCAGUGAGAGCCGGGUACUUCCAGCCAACGUGGCCACCUUUAAACAUCUCCCCAGGACUGGUCCUGUGAUUGCAGAAGUGUGGGUGGCAAAGGCUACGUCUAUCCUUCCGGAGGCAGGUCAGCCCGCCAGCUGGACCUGUGGGACUGAAAUUCAGGUUUUGGAAUCGGGAGUUAUUGCUGGAUCUGUGACUGGGGGUGGUGCUGGUGGCUUGCCAGGGCUCAGGGACAUAUGCUGUUGGUCCAGCCACCCCUGUCAAGGACCUUUUGCAGAGUGGUCAGCACAGGUGUGGGUGUCUAUGGGGCAUGCACCGCCCUCCCUAACUGUGUGAUGGUCUGCAUAUGCUCAUGGAUUGGAAGGGACUGGGGAGCAGCCAGGAGCACGAGGGCAGCUUGGUGGCAGUAUGUGGGCCUGUGACCCAGGAAGGACACGGCGGGGCAAAGGCAGUGGUGAGUUCCGCCAGGCAGUUCCUGUCCGCCCCUCAUCAAGACCUUCCUGUCCACCGGCCGGUGGCGAGAGAUCCUGUGCACGCGACCUCCAGGAUCCCCAACCUGCCUUCAGACCCGUGAGCAGAUGCUGAGUGAAGGGCCCCCAACCUCUGCCCACGCCUCUCCUUCUGCAGAUCAACGCCCAGCCCUCUCUCUUGUGGUAGGAAGAUUCAUUCCCAGGAGGAGUGGUUUCAUCUUCGGAGCCUCCCCAAGAAGUUCAGAGGGUAGACAAGGCCAACUGAAACACAGACUUUACCCCUUUUAUUUGGUUCUCUCAGUGAGCAUUGGGUGUCUCUCCUGCAAAAACAAUAAAACAUUGUAUCCUUGUCUAGUUCACGUGGAUGCUUCUUGCAUUUACUAAAUUGCUUACCUGGUUAUACAUGCUUGUUAAGAGCUGCCAAACGUGGGAUUUCCCACCUUUUGAAGAGGAUGUGGACUUUUAGAAAAAGUCUAGAAUUGUGGAAGAGGGUGGGGUCCCUAUAAACUAGGAUACACACAGUUCAGUGAAACAUGCAAUCCCUGGAAUGCUCAUCACGUGCAAUGCACUCUCCAUCUGGUUUUGGGAAGACAACCUCGGCUCCCCCCAUGUGACCGUCGCCCGGAAAGUCACCUCAGAUACAGGCAGGAGCUAAAGCAGGUCGAGGGCUGUCCCACGGCUCCUCACUGCCUGCGCGCCAUCUCCUGCAUCUCCCGGCUUCACGCGUCCUUGCUCCUCCAUCAAAUCCUUCUGGUGGUACUCCCACCUUUCUCCAAGUUCACGUGUCUGUUUGGUUUUUCUUGCUCUUGCUUCCGACGAGCACCCUUCCUCUCUUCGGGGUGAACAUGCAAGGACAGACUGGAAACAGCAGAACAGAGAUGCAGCCUAUUGGACACCAGCGGAGGCAGUCCCUCAUACCAGGUGUGAUCU
ensembl:lncRNA